AUUCCUCAUAGCCCUGCUUUCAAACUUGCUUCGAUAAAUUGAUCCAGACUACCGUCCAGUACCGCCUGUGUAUUGCGGGUUUCCACCCCAGUACGCAGGUCUUU
rnacentral:sRNA from 1 species